AGCGAACGCUGGCGGCAGGCCUAACACAUGCAAGUCGAACGGACCCUUCGGGGUUAGUGGCGGACGGGUGAGUAACACGUGGGAACGUGCCUUUUGGUUCGGAACAACUCAGGGAAACUUGAGCUAAUACCGAGUGUGCCCUUCGGGGGAAAGAUUUAUCGCCAUUAGAGCGGCCCGCGUCUGAUUAGCUUGUUGGUGAGGUAAUGGCUCACCAAGGCGACGAUCAGUAGCUGGCCUGAGAGGAUGAUCAGCCACAUUGGGACUGAGACACGGCCCAAACUCCUACGGGAGGCAGCAGUGGGGAAUCUUGCGCAAUGGGCGAAAGCCUGACGCAGCCAUGCCGCGUGAAUGAUGAAGGUCUUAGGAUUGUAAAAUUCUUUCACCGGGGACGAUAAUGACGGUACCCGGAGAAGAAGCCCCGGCUAACUUCGUGCCAGCCGCCGCGGUAAGAC
rnacentral:rRNA from 1 species